AUCCCGUCGCCAUCACCAUUGCACUUGAAAAUUACCGGGAAGUCGUGCUUUCAUAUCUUGAGCUUCUGAAACGGCAGAAGGGCGACGGGCCCGGAAAGCAGGCCGAGACAGGCAGCCAUCUAGUGAGAGCUGAAGGAAGAGGAAUCGCUGGGACCUGGUGGGACACUGGGGGCCUCCUGUGGGACGAAAUACAAGAUCGUCUGCAAAAGAAUGGAGCGGGUGUACAACCCAAGCCCAUGGGCGUGGACAUUGAAGCGGAGGACUCCAAGAGCUGCGUCACUAAUUUUAUCAGCUCCAAACGACAGGAAACAGGCUCGGGACAUCUGUCUUUAGACGACCACAUUCAUCCUACAGUUUUAAACUGUAUGAGAGUCAACCUCGCAACGCAAAUAUUGAGCGAUAUCGCCAUAAGUGAUCUACUGGGAUCGCUGCCCCUUUCAUGCAUUCAGCGGCCAUGGAGACUUCAAAUUUCCUGCAUGUUCUGUUUGAUUGUUUGAACAGUUCAUGCGUUGAACAAGGUGACGACAAGAAGAUGAGGUCGGGAUAUUCAGCGCACGAGUCCUCUGCACCUUUCCUCUUUCGACCCAUCUUGUUGGUGACACUCCUACUGACUGACAAGCGC